UGUACACACCGCCCGUCACACCACGAAAGUCUGCAACACCCGAAGCCGGUGAGGUAACCCGUAAGGGAGCUAGCCGUCGAAGGUGGGGCCGAUAAUUGGGGUGAAGUCGUAACAAGGUAGCCGUAUCGGAAGGUGCGGCUGGAUCACCUCCUU
rnacentral:rRNA from 1 species